rnacentral:rRNA from 1 species
AUUGAACGCUGGCGGCAGGCCUAACACAUGCAAGUCGAGCGGAUGAGAAGAGCUUGCUCUUCGAUUCAGCGGCGGACGGGUGAGUAAUGCCUAGGAAUCUGCCUGGUAGUGGGGGACAACGUUUCGAAAGGAACGCUAAUACCGCAUACGUCCUACGGGAGAAAGCAGGAGACCUUCGGGUCUUGCGCUAUCAGAUGAGCCUAGGUCGGAUUAGCUAGUUGGUGAGGUAAUGGCUCACCAAGGCGACGAUCCGUAACUGGUCUGAGAGGAUGAUCAGUCACACUGGAACUGAGACACGGUCCAGACUCCUACGGGAGGCAGCAGUGGGGAAUAUUGGACAAUGGGCGAAAGCCUGAUCCAGCCAUGCCGCGAGUGUGAAGAAGGUCUUCGGAUUGUAAAGCACUUUAAGUUGGGAGGAAGGGCAGUAAGUUAAUACCUUGCUGUUUUGACGUUACCGACAGAAUAAGCACCGGCUAACUCUGUGCCAGCCGCCGCCGUAAAAC